AUAUAAUCAACAGUAACAAAAAUCAUCAACAUAUAUAAACAAAUAUCCUUAGACACCUCUAAGCAGCGUUUGGCUAGGACUAGGAAGUACGAGAUGCAUGGCUAAGAUAUAUAGACAGAUCGACACCAUACCGUCCGAACAUCUUUUUUCCUUUGCUAGCUUGAUUCCGUUAAAGCAUUUUGAAAAAAGGCAAAAAUAACAUAGCAGAGCAUACAAUAAGGAACCACAAUUUCAUCAGGUACAUAUCAAUGUAGCUUGUCUCGGCAAAACUUAGCUUAAACAAAAGUAACACAGAACCAAUACAUAGCAUCUGUCCACAAAGCUUAAGGUAACCAACUGUCUUAGCAUUGCCCUUAUCAUAAGAUAGAAACCUAGCUAGGACCCGAUCAAACUGCCAUAUCAAGGACACUUUUGGGACCUUAGACCUCAGGUGCCAAGACCGGAGGGCGCAGCUCAUCCUCGUCCUUCGGGGUAUGGAUGGUCACCAGGUCCGGAAGAGGGGUGAUUGGACCAACCUUGCCCUUCGGGUCCCAGUCGAGCAUGAUCUUCACCUUGAUACCAAGAACACCCUG
rnacentral:lncRNA from 1 species